UGAUAAAAGAGGUCACAAGGAGGGUUCAUAUGGAGAAUAUCUGGCAAGCUGCUUAUACAGCUGGGGUGGUCCUACCGACACCUGUAUCAACCUGUCAAUAUUGGCAUAGAUCUCUGAAUCCAAAGAAGCUAAUUGAUGUUGGGUUUUCCAGGCUUGGUGCAAGGAUGACAAUGAGCCGAACAAUAAAGCUGUAUAAGUUACCUGAUCAGACUGUCACACCUGGGUUCAGGAAGAUGGAGCCCCAUGAUGUUCCUGCAGUUACUCGAUUGCUCAGGAAUUACUUGAAGCAGUUUGUGGUUGCACCUGACUUUGAUGAAAAUGAUGUGGAACACUGGCUUCUGCCAAAGGA
rnacentral:lncRNA from 1 species